UUCAUCUUUGGGAUAACUCGCGGAAACGUGGGCUAAUACCGAAUAUUCUUUUCCUGCUGCAUGGUGGGGUUUGGAAAGGCUUCCUUUUGGGGGUUGGUGGGGGAUGGGCUUGCGGCCUAUCAGCUAGUUGGUGGGGUAACGGCCUACCAAGGCUUCGACGGGUAGCUGGUCUGAGAGGACGAUCAGCCGGAUUGGGACUGAGAUACGGCCCAG
rnacentral:rRNA from 1 species